UUGGGAAUUCCAAAUGAUAGAUAGAGCCAAUUUCAGACCUUUAAUGAUUGCGAAUAAUUCAUCAAUCGGAGGAGAAAAGUCAAUUUCUUUGCUUUUUGAUAGAAGCACGAUUAUAGAGUUAUCAAAACUUAGAAUAGCAACCCUAGUGCCUAUUGAAGUCAAACUCAUGGUCCACGCUGCAUCUACAUUAAGAGAAAAUGAGCUAUGAGGAGGAGGAAUCCAUUUUCUAUUGCAUGCAAUUUGAAGGCUCUGUCCUCCGUUUUGGAACAUAGCUUUCCGAAGAGAACUCUUAAUAGCUUAUUCAAGAUGGGGAUAGAACAACAUGGCAGAUUUUGAGAAAUUGAUUUUAGCAUCCGAGGCUUCUUCAAAUUUCUGAAAGAUAUAUUUUAGAACAUGUCAAUUUUGUUCCGUAGCUUUGCAAAAAACCAUAUUAUUAUCUUCCAAUAAAAAAUGAAAAAUCUUUGGACUUAGGUGGUGAGCUACAAUACCUAAAAUUGAACUCAGAGAAUGAUUAGCUUGAAGAAAACGAAAGAAGCCUUCCGAAGCAAUUAAAAAUAGAUAUGGAGAUAGAGGAUCUCCUUGUCGGAGACUCCUAGAAUGAUAGAUACAAUCUGAGGUAUUUCCAUUUAGUGGGAUAGAUAGUUCAACUAUAGAAAUAUAAUUGAAAAUUAAAAGAAUCAAAUCAUAGUCAAACCCUAAAUGAAUCAACAUUGCUUUUAAAUAAGGUCAUUUUUUAGAGCAGCUACACCUUCAUUUUCAUGUUUCUUAUUUUUUUUAUACAAUGAAGUAUUUCAUGGCCAUCAUAAUAUUGUAUAGAAUGGACCUACCCGGAAUAAAUGCAUAUUGAUAUUCAAAAAGAAUUUUAUCAAGUAUAACUUUUAUUCUAUUA